CGUGCCCCCCGGCCCAAGAACCGGGACACUGGAUUCUCUAAACUGUAGAACUGACAUAAAAUGAAGAGACAUGCAAGGAAAUUAAAAAAGGAGAAAAUGCAGGAUUCGGCCAGAAACUAACAGAAGAUUCCCUUCUUCUUACGCAUCUGGACACAGAUGGCACAUCUCUGCAAUUGUCACUCACAGUUCCCAUGAAAAGAUUGGCACAACCCAAAGGCAUGGAAGCCCGCUGAACUGUCCUGGGACUUGGGAACACCGCCGUGGGGAGUGAUGUCACAGCCUUACUGGGUGAUACCUGUCAGACCUGCACAUGCACGUCCCCAAACGCCUAGGCUGGUGGGGAAUGUAAGCACAGCAUCAUGUAAAUGUCACGAUCCUGGACACAGUGCGUUGGCAACACGGUGGAAAAGGAGAGCAGGUAACCUCGGGGCCAGGAGGGAACCUCCCCACCAGAAGCGGCCCAGCGGGAUGCUCUGUGGUGAAAGGGGAGGGAGGAGCCAUCUUUAUACUGUGGUUUGGGAAGCUCUCCUGGACACACUGUUGGUGAAAAGGCAGAGAGAGCACAGCACAGAACCGUGUGUGCCUAGCACGUGACCAUGGUGCGUGUGCGUGGCCUUUGGCUUCUAAGUCACAGGACCAAAAGGAAACGUCUUCCCGGCUGUACAGCUACCAGAGGCCACGCGGGAGCAGACAGAGCCGUGCCCUCAUUCCCGUGGGUGGCGAGUCCCAUGCCGCUCUGGCCAGCUCAGCGUUGCAGAUGGGCCAAGUGCCCCCCGGGGGGUGCUGUGCCAGGAAGCCCCCACCUCGAGCACCCUACCCACUCCGCACGGCAACCCUUUACCCGAGUGACAGAAGGGGACUCGAGGAGGGGGCUUCUUCCUUUCCUUUGUGGGGAGGGGGGACUAAAUUGGAUUCCAGUCGGAACACAGCCCUGGCAGAGCAAUCUCAAAGGGACGGCGUUUCUGCCCACAGGUGGUGAAACUGCAACCAGGCUCACCCUUGCCUCCCAGAGACAGAUGCCCCGCCCCCUCUCUUGCCCUCCCUGCUUCCCGAUACUCCCGGGAAUCUGGGCCUGAAAGCUUUGCUGCUCCCGGUACUGCAGGAAGCUCGGCAGGGCUUCAGAAACACCGAGAUCCUGGUGGACAAUCAGGAGCUUCCAGGACGGACGCCGGGCUGCGGGGCUGCAGGUGCACCCCGGUCCUGGGAGACGCGGCAGGACAGGUGCUCGGUGCUCACCUGGGAGGGAGCGGGAGCCGAGUAGUCUGCACCCCCGCCCACCCCACGUACCCACGCAUCUCAG